rnacentral:rRNA from 1 species
GACGAACGCUGGCGGCGUGCUUAACACAUGCAAGUCGAACGGAAAGGCCCUGCUUUUGUGGGGUGCUCGAGUGGCGAACGGGUGAGUAACACGUGAGUAACCUGCCCUUGACUUUGGGAUAACUUCAGGAAACUGGGGCUAAUACCGGAUAGGAGCUCCUGCUGCAUGGUGGGGGUUGGAAAGUUUCGGCGGUUGGGGAUGGACUCGCGGCUUAUCAGCUUGUUGGUGGGGUAGUGGCUUACCAAGGCUUUGACGGGUAGCCGGCCUGAGAGGGUGACCGGCGACAUUGGGACUGAGAUACGGCGCAGACUCGUACGGGAGGCAGCAAUGGGGAAUAUUGCACAAUGGGCGGAAGCGUGAUGAAGCAACGCCGCGUGCGGGAUGACGGCCUUCGGGUUGUAAACAGCUUUCGCCUGUGACGAAGCGUGAGUGACGGUACUGGGUAAAGAAGCACCGGCUAACUACGUG